GCUUGUAUUAAGCAUACUUGUAACAAUUAGUUUGGAUAAGUGUGUAAUUAAAUUUGUGAUAGAUCUAGAUUUACAUUAACAUAAAGCAUUUAUACAAAUUUUUAAAAAAAUUAAAACGACCUGAAUUCAAACGCAUGGUUCAAGCCAACAUGAUAGCCACUCUGCUAGUGAAGUUAUGAACUUAUAUAGUUAUCUAUUGUUUCUAUAGUCUCAACCUAUUUUUCAGGUUUGUGUUUAUGACCAUCUAUAAAAGAAACUAAUUCAACUUGUCCUAUCACUUCAGCUAGUACAAAAUCAUUCCCUUGUUUGAGAUACUAAACAAAACAGCUUGAUCGAAGAUUGGGCGUGGUAGAAAUAACGUGUACAGACUUUUUACCAGACAGACAGACAGAAAUGAUAUAAGCUAUGUAACAACAACCAAUGUGUGUCCAUCAUUUCUCUUUAUUAAUCCAAUCAACAAUAUCAUGAACACAUUGCCCCAGACAGUCAAAUCAGUGUUGAUAACAAAAAAAUUACAUUUUGAUACAAAAUGUAUUGGGAGUAUUAGGCAUUAGACAAGACAAAACUAUGGAACUUAAUCUAUAUUAUAGUUUUUGUUGUAAUAACAACACAAAAAUAUAUACAUGUAGUUCUGUAGGUGUUCUUUACAAAAAAAAAGUCUAUGCUUAAAAAACUAUGGAACCUAAAACUAUAUUAUGGUUUGUAUGAAUUAAUAACAACACUAAAAUAUAUAUAUACUAGUCCUAUAAGUGUUCUUUCUAAAAAGUCAAUGCUUAAACAUAAGACAGGUCUAAGCAUGUUUUGUCAUUAGUUUUUUUAGAGUUUUCCAUCAUGACUAGAAAAUGGAUG